GGGCGUAAAGAGCUCGUACGUGGUUCGUUACGUCAGGAUGUGAAAAUCUGGGGCUCAACCCCAGACCUGCAUCCGAUACGGUCGAGCUAGAGUUUGGUAAGGGAGACUGGAAUUCCUGGUGUAGCGGUGGAAUGCGCAGAUAUCAGGAGGAACACCAAUGGCGAACGCAGGUCUCUGGGCCAAUACUGACACUGAGGAGCGAAAGCGUGGGGAGCGAACAGGAUUAGAUACCCUGGUAGUCCACGCCGUAAACGGUGGGCGCUAGUUGUGGGAACCUUCCACGGUUUCUGCGACGCAGCUAACGCAUUAAGCGCCCCGCCUGGGGAGUACGAUCGCAAGAUUAAAACUCAAAGGAAUUGACGGGGCCCCGCACAAGCAGCGGAGCAUGCGGCUUAAUUCGACGCAACGGCGAUAUACCUUACCAAGGCUUGACAUAUACAGGAAUAUGGCAGAGAUGUCAUAGCGGUAAAACGUCUGUAUACAGGUGGUGCAUGGUUGUCGUCAGCUCGUGUCGUGAGAUGUUGGGUUAAGUCCCGCAACGAGCGCAACCCUCGUGGUUAGUUAUUCCCGGGAAACCGGAAUCUGACCAGACUGCCCUGUGAAACGGGGAGGAAGGUGGGGACGACGUCAAGUCCGUAUGGCCCUUACGGCCAGGGCUGCACACGUACUACAAUGCCCACUACAGAGGGACGCAAGACCGCAAGGUGGAGCCAAUCCCGAAAAGGUGGGCCCAGUUCGGAUUGGAGGCUGCAACUCGCCUCCAUGAAGUUGGAAUCGCUA
rnacentral:rRNA from 1 species